rnacentral:rRNA from 1 species
UGCCCCAGUAACGGCGAGUGAAGCGGCAAGAGCUCAAAUUUGAAAGCUGGCUCCUUCGGGGUCCGCAUUGUAAUUUGCAGAGGAUGCUUCGGGAGCGGUCCCCAUCUAAGUGCCCUGGAACGGGACGUCAUAGAGGGUGAGAAUCCCGUAUGGGAUGGGGUGUCCGCGCCCGUGUGAAGCUCCUUCGACGAGUCGAGUUGUUUGGGAAUGCAGCUCUAAAUGGGUGGUAAAUUUCAUCUAAAGCUAAAUAUUGGCCGGAGACCGAUAGCGCACAAGUAGAGUGAUCGAAAGAUGAAAAGCACUUUGAAAAGAGAGUUAAAAAGCACGUGAAAUUGUUGAAAGGGAAGCGCUUGCGAUCAGACUCGCUCACGGGGUUCAGCCGGCAUUCGUGCCGGUGUACUUCCCCGCGGGCGGGCCAGCGUCGGUUUGGGCGGUCGGUCAAAGGCCCUCGGAAGGUAACGCCCCCUCGGGGGCGUCUUAUAGCCGAGGGUGCAAUGCGACCUGCCUGGACCGAGGAACGCGCUUCGGCUCGGACGCUGGCAUAAUGGUCGUAAGCGACCCGUCUUGAAACACGGACCAAGGAGUCUAACAUCUACGCGAGUGUUCGGGUGUCAAACCCGUGCGCGCAGUGAAAGCGAACGGAGGUGGGAACCCUUUUGGGUGCACCAUCGACCGAUCCUGAUGUCUUCGGAUGGAUUUGAGUAAGAGCGUAGCUGUUGGGACCCGAAAGAUGGUGAACUAUGCCUGAAUAGGGCGAAGCCAGAGGAAACUCUGGUGGAGGCUCGUAGCGGUUCUGACGUGCAAAUCGAUCGUCGAAUUUGGGUAUA